GAUGAACGCUGGCGGCGUGCCUAAUACAUGCAAGUCGAGCGAACGGACGAGAAGCUUGCUUCUCUGAUGUUAGCGGCGGACGGGUGAGUAACACGUGGAUAACCUACCUAUAAGACUGGGAUAACUUCGGGAAACCGGAGCUAAUACCGGAUAAUAUUUUGAACCGCAUGGUUCAAAAGUGAAAGACGGUCUUGCUGUCACUUAUAGAUGGAUCCGCGCUGCAUUAGCUAGUUGGUAAGGUAACGGCUUACCAAGGCAACGAUGCAUAGCCGACCUGAGAGGGUGAUCGGCCACACUGGAACUGAGACGCGGUCCAGACUCCUACGGGAGGCAGCAGUAGGGAAUCUUCCGCAAUGGGCGAAAGCCUGACGGAGCAACGCCGCGUGAGUGAUGAAGGUCUUCGGAUCGUAAAACUCUGUUAUUAGGGAAGAACAUAUGUGUAAGUAACUGUGCACAUCUUGACGGUACCUAAUCAGAAAGCCACGGCUAACUACG
rnacentral:rRNA from 1 species